ensembl:lncRNA
CUCUCCCCUGCCCAUGACAUUGACCUAGUUUUGGGUUAUUGCCAUAGUUCAGGGUUAUGAACAUAGUUUAGGGUUAUUGACAUCGUUUUUUUUUGCAAAUCAGAUUUAAUGACCUACAUCGUAGAGUUUGCGGGUUUCAGAAACAUAAAAUGAACACCAAUACUAACUAUGUUAACACUAAAUACUAUUUAGGACCACUCGGUUAGCCAUCAGACCAUUGUAGUGUUAUUAGCGACCCCUUCUCUGAAUCAGUGCUUUGGUUAAUCCCUGGCAGGUCCGCAGGAAACAGUUUAAUUUAGCUGUAGCUUGAUAGCAUGAGCUAACGAUGGGUUCAUAUCAACCCGGAACAUACUACUGUUUCCCCCAAUCAAGGACAAAACAUAACAUGCUGGCUCUGCUAAUGCGCUCAGAUUAGAUAGAACAUAAAAUCGUAAAAACCUGAUUAUCCGACCUUUAAAUUAUAGUUUAUCCCCGUUUAAUUUGACACAAACAUUUAAUUUCCGAGAUGGUUGAACGCGGCACAAAAACGGAUGGUUGUGGCCAGAGCUAUAGAGAGUUGCGACACGCUAUGAUCUCGCCGACAGGGUGGUCACGUGGUUGUCACGUGGUUCAUGUAAGCCUCAAUAGUUCCAAACACGCCGCGCAGUCAAUGUUAUUCUAUGGGACGACAGCAGAGAUUUCAAUAUUGAAUGAUCAAUGGUCAUACCAUGGUUGGCUGUGCAGCGUUUGGAUGCUCCAAUCGGUCCGAGAAGGGUUACCACAUGUAUGGCUUCCCCAAGGACCAAGAGCGCAGGAAGAAAUGGAUGGCAAUGGUCAGCCGUCAAAACUUAAAGUGACAGGGGUCAGCAACAGUCAAAAACGAUGUAAUGUACACUUUGAACUAAUUCACUGCCACAAAAAGAGAAGGGAUGUUGAAGCUGAGGCCCGAUGCAGUACCAACAGUUUUCAUUCAUCGCCCUAAGCCGAAGAGGAGGAAACCCCCUUCUGUGAGGGUGCCUCCAGAACCAAGUGCAACGGACCACACAUAUUUCACCAAAUUAAACUUCGAGAUUGAGGGAGAAAUUGAGGUGGAUUUCAAGAGCGAUGAAAAGGACAUGACAGGAGACAGCGAGAGCAAUCAAGUGGGCCACUUUGCCAGGGGCAGGUGAUCCAGGGGCAGGUGAUCCAGGGGCAGCUGCUACAGGGGCAGCUGCUCCAGGGACCAGACUGCCAAGGACUGAUGGGGCGACUAUGGAGGACCUAAUAAGGCAACUAGAAAAGGAAAAAUUAAUGAGAAGGAGAGCAGAGAGGGCUCUUGUAAAACAAAAAAUAAUAAAUUUGGCACCAAGAAUGAGAAACAAUUCAGUCAACAAGAAGUUAAAACGAAAAAGCCAUACAGGUUAAAUUCACCACCCAUCAUAAUCAUCGCCCUUUCCAGGAUAUAAUUAAACAAACACUGUUAUUUCUAAUAGCUAUCGCAUCAUAAAACCCGUCCUUAAAUCAACCUAAAUGAUCAUAGUAAUCCAACAUAAAUAACUAGCUAAAUAAAAGUUAGAUUCACUACUGAACUUCGUAAUUGUUGUUGUAGAUACCU